AUGGCAGAGGAAAGUGAGACCAAAGAACUUCCCAUGGGCUUGUCAGUACUGCAGCUUGGAAGUGACUCACAAUGCUUUCUCUCAGGACUAAUCACAUGGCCUCGCCUACAACAAAAAAAACUAGCAAAUGUGAGGAAGCACAUGGAAUAUUUGAAAGUGUUGAAGAGGAAAUACCCAAACUCCCAGCUUCCCUGCAGCUGGGUGUGGCCACAAAACUCAGCUAUGGCCAGUGAGAUAAAGGAUGUAAGGAGGCCUGGGAGAAAUAAAGAAUUCUACGCUAUCAGUCAUCUGGAAGUCUGGCCUUGAAGGCUGUCAUUAAGCAUAUCAGGAGGACAGAGAUUGUCCAGGCUCAGGGCACAGCAAGGACAAGAGCAUGGAUAUGUGGACACACCAGCCUGAGAUGCUGCUUUUCCCAGGCAAGUGCUUUUCCCAGUGAGUGCUGGUCCCCAGAUGUCCCCAGGCCUUAUUCCUUCACCUCACCUCUUUCAGGUUCCUGUUCAGAUGUCCCUUUCUCAGCAAGGCCUUCCGUAAUCACCAGUGGUACGCCAGGGCUGGCUAGUCCCAGUUCACCAGAGCUGAUUGUUAAAUUUCCAGGAAAUGUGCUAGCUGGUGAGUAAACACAGACAUUAGUGAAAACUAAAUUCUGUGAAUUUAUAACUAAAUAAAUUG
rnacentral:lncRNA from 1 species